rnacentral:rRNA from 1 species
AUUGAACGCUGGCGGCAUGCUUUACACAUGCAAGUCGAACGGUAACAGGCCGCAAGGUGCUGACGAGUGGCGAACGGGUGAGUAAUGCAUCGGAACGUGCCCAGUCGUGGGGGAUAACGCAGCGAAAGCUGUGCUAAUACCGCAUACGAUCUAUGGAUGAAAGCGGGGGACCGUAAGGCCUCGCGCGAUUGGAGCGGCCGAUGUCAGAUUAGGUAGUUGGUGGGGUAAAGGCCCACCAAGCCAACGAUCUGUAGCUGGUAUGAGAGGACGACCAGCCACACUGGGACUGAGACACGGCCCAGACUCCUACGGGAGGCAGCAGUGGGGAAUUUUGGACAAUGGGCGCAAGCCUGAUCCAGCAAUGCCGCGUGCAGGAAGAAGGCCUUCGGGUUGUAAACUGCUUUUGUACGGAACGAAAAGGUCUGGGUUAAUACCCUGGGCUGAUGACGGUACCGUAAGAAUAAGCACCGGCUAACUACGUGCCAGCCGCCGCGGUAA